GGGGGGGGGGGGGGGGGGGCGGGGGGCGGGCAGGGCGGGCGGGGGGGCGGGGCGUUGGGGGGGUGGGCGGGGGGGGAGCGGGGGAGGGACACGUGGGUAACCUGCCCUUGACUGUGGGGGAACUUCAGGGGACUGGGGCGCAUACCGGAUAGGAGCUCCUGCUGCGUGGUGGGGGUUGGAAAGUUUCGGCGGUUGGGGAUGGACUCGCGGGUUAUCGGCUUGUUGGUGGGGUAGUGGCUUACCAAGGCUUUGACGGGUAGCCGGCCUGGGAGGGUGGCCGGCCACCAUGGGACUGAGAUAGGGAGCAGACUCCUACGGGAGGCAGCAGGGGGGAACAUGGCAGAACGGGCGGACGCCUGAUGCAGCAACGCCGCGUGCGGGAUGACGGGCUUCGGGUGGUAAACCGCUGUCGACUGUGACGAAGCGUGAGUGACGGUAAUGGGUAAAGAAGCACCGGCUAACUACGUG
rnacentral:rRNA from 1 species